GGAAAAUCAAGGCUGAGGCGUGAUGACGAGGCACUACGGUGCUGAAGCGACAAAUGCCCUGCUUCCAGGAAAAGCCUCUAAGCAUCAGGUAACAUCAAAUCGUACCCCAAACCGACACAGGUGGUCAGGUAGAGAAUACCAAGGCGCUUGAGAGAACUCGGGUGAAGGAACUAGGCAAAAUGGUGCCGUAACUUCGGGAGAAGGCACGCUGAUAUGUAGGUGAAGCGACUUGCUCGUGGAGCUGAAAUCAGUCGAAGAUACCAGCUGGCUGCAACUGUUUAUUAAAAACACAGCACUGUGCAAACACGAAAGUGGACGUAUACGGUGUGACGCCUGCCCGGUGCCGGAAGGUUAAUUGAUGGGGUUAGCGGUAACGCGAAGCUCUUGAUCGAAGCCCCGGUAAACGGCGGCCGUAACUAUAACGGUCCUAAGGUAGCGAAAUUCCUUGUCGGGUAAGUUCCGACCUGCACGAAUGGCGUAAUGAUGGCCAGGCUGUCUCCACCCGAGACUCAGUGAAAUUGAACUCGCUGUGAAGAUGCAGUGUACCCGCGGCAAGACGGAAAGACCCCGUGAACCUUUACUAUAGCUUGACACUGAACAUUGAGCCUUGAUGUGUAGGAUAGGUGGGAGGCUUUGAAGUGUGGACGCCAGUCUGCAUGGAGCCGACCUUGAAAUACCACCCUUUAAUGUUUGAUGUUCUAACGUGGGCCCCUUACCGGGGUUGCGGACAGUGUCUGGUGGGUAGUUUGACUGGGGCGGUCUCCUCCUAAAGAGUAACGGAGGAGCACGAAGGUUGGCUAAUCCUGGUCGGACAUCAGGAGGUUAGUGCAAUGGCAUAAGCCAGCUUGACUGCGAGCGUGACGGCGCGAGCAGGUGCGAAAGCAGGUCAUAGUGAUCCGGUGGUUCUGAAUGGAAGGGCCAUCGCUCAACGGAUAAAAGGUACUCCGGGGAUAACAGGCUGAUACCGCCCAAGAGUUCAUAUCGACGGCGGUGUUUGGCACCUCGAUGUCGGCUCAUCACAUCCUGGGGCUGAAGUAGGUCCCAAGGGUAUGGCUGUUCGCCAUUUAAAGUGGUACGCGAGCUGGGUUUAGAACGUCGUGAGACAGUUCGGUCCCUAUCUGCCGUGGGCGCUGGAGAACUGAGGGGGGCUGCUCCUAGUACGAGAGGACCGGAGUGGACGCAUCACUGGUGUUCGGGUUGUCAUGCCAAUGGCACUGCCCGGUAGCUAAAUGCGGAAGAGAUAAGUGCUGAAAGCAUCUAAGCACGAAACUUGCCCCGAGAUGAGUUCUCCCUGACUCCUUGAGAGUCCUGAAGGAACGUUGAAGACGACGACGUUGAUAGGCCGGGUGUGUAAGCGCAGCGAUGCGUUGAGCUAACCGGUACUAAUGAACCGUGAGGCUUAACCUU
rnacentral:rRNA from 1 species